CACAACAAAGAGACACAUCAGUUGUGGACGGAAAUGUCACAGUGGAAGAAAAAACCAAAAGAAUCUCAGUUGAGUCCCUUCAACAUUCAAAAGCACAACAAAGUAACACGUCAGUUAUGGACGGAAAUAUCACAGUGGAAGAAAAAACUGAAACUAGACAACAAAGAAGAAAGGCAGCACUUUCUGAAGAAGAGGAUACAUCUAACUCUUGUCUAAGAAAAGAUUCACAACUAAUCUCUGAUGAAUCUUCACUUACCUUCCAAGGUCCUGUAGUAAAAACAACGGGGAAAGUAGCUCAGACAUCAUUUCAUGAAGGGGAUAUGCAAAUAAUAAAGG